GGGUCAGUAGGUUGGUCGUGCCACCGGUACGUACUGGUCUCACUGAUUCCUCCUUCCUGAAGAACCUUAAUGCCAUUAAUUUGGUGUUGCGGGGAAACAGGACUGUUACUUUGAAAAAAUUAGAGUGUUUAGAGCAAGCUAACGCUUGAAUACAUUAGCAUGGAAUAAUGAAAUAGGACGAUCGAUCCUAUUUUGUUGGUUUCUAGGAUUGACGUA
rnacentral:rRNA from 1 species